rnacentral:rRNA from 1 species
UCUGAAUAUGGGGGGACCAUCCUCCAAGGCUAAAUACUCCUGACUGACCGAUAGUGAACCAGUACCGUGAGGGAAAGGCGAAAAGAACCCCGGCGAGGGGAGUGAAAAAGAACCUGAAACCGUGUACGUACAAGCAGUGGGAGCACGCUUCGGCGUGUGACUGCGUACCUUUUGUAUAAUGGGUCAGCGACUUAUAUUCUGUAGCAAGGUUAACCGAAUAGGGGAGCCGAAGGGAAACCGAGUCUUAACUGGGCGUUAAGUUGCAGGGUAUAGACCCGAAACCCGGUGAUCUAGCCAUGGGCAGGUUGAAGGUUGGGUAACACUAACUGGAGGACCGAACCGACUAAUGUUGAAAAAUUAGCGGAUGACUUGUGGCUGGGGGUGAAAGGCCAAUCAAACCGGGAGAUAGCUGGUUCUCCCCGAAAGCUAUUUAGGUAGCGCCUCGUGAAUUCAUCUCCGGGGGUAGAGCACUGUUUCGGCAAGGGGGUCAUCCCGACUUACCAACCCGAUGCAAACUGCGAAUACCGGAGAAUGUUAUCACGGGAGACACACGGCGGGUGCUAACGUCCGUCGUGAAGAGGGAAACAACCCAGACCGCCAGCUAAGGUCCCAAAGUCAUGGUUAAGUGGGAAACGAUGUGGGAAGGCCCAGACAGCCAGGAUGUUGGCUUAGAAGCAGCCAUCAUUUAAAGAAAGCGUAAUAGCUCACUGGUCGAGUCGGCCUGCGCGGAAGAUGUAACGGGGCUAAACCAUGCACCGAAGCUGCGGCAGCGACACUAUGUGUUGUUGGGUA